rnacentral:tRNA from 1 species
GGAGAGAUGUCCGAGUGGUCGAAGGAGCCGGACUCGAAAUCCGGUGUAGUGCUUUGCAUUACCGAGGGUUCGAAUCCCUCUCUCUCCG